GACGAACGCUGGCGGCGUGCUUAACACAUGCAAGUCGAGGGAGGCCCUCCUUCGGGAGGUGUCCUAGCGGCGAACGGGUGAGUAACACGUGGGCAACCUGCCCUCAGCUCUGGGAUAACCCCAAGAAAUUGGGGCUAAUACCGGAUACGACCGCUGACCGCAUGGUCUGGUGGUGGAAAGAUUUAUCGGCUGGGGAUGGGCCCGCGGCCUAUCAGCUUGUUGGUGGGGUAGUGGCCUACCAAGGCGACGACGGGUAGCCGGCCUGAGAGGGUGACCGGCCACACUGGGACUGAGACACGGCCCAGACUCCUACGGGAGGCAGCAGUGGGGAAUAUUGCGCAAUGGGCGGAAGCCUGACGCAGCGACGCCGCGUGGGGGAUGACGGCCUUCGGGUUGUAAACCUCUUUCAGCAGGGACGAAGCGAAAGUGACGGUACCUGCAGAAGAAGCACCGGCCAACUACGUGCCAGCCGCCGCGGUAAAAC
rnacentral:rRNA from 1 species